AUGCUUAGGCUUAGGCUUAGGUUUAGGCUUAGGCUUAGGCUUAGGUUCAGGCUUAAGUUUAGGCAUAUGUUUAGUCUUAGGCUUAGGUUUAGACGUAGGUUUAGGCUAACGACUAGGCUUAGGCUUUGGCUUCGGUUUAGGCGUAGACCUAGGUUUAGGUCUAGGCGUAGGCUUAGACUUAGGCAUAUACUUAGGCUUCGGCUAAAUCUUAGGCUUAGG
ensembl:ncRNA H19M22.6 ncRNA